GGCCUGUUCAGCCAGAGCAGUCCCACCCCGGUUGAACUGCCAUUUUGUUGUAAAACUUGAAUUGACCUUGCCCCCCGCCCCAGGGGAACUUAUUUCAAAGCAAGUCUGGGAAACCAGUCCCACGUAACAAAGUCCAAAUGCAAGGGUGGGUCAGGCCAGGUGGAGGUAUUCAAUCAGUGGGGGCACAUACUGUGCACAUACUACCAAGGAGCAUGGGCCCCGACCUUUGGGCACCUUUUUGGGCACCAAAUCUGAACUAGGUGAUAGGCUGGUUCAAAUGUCUACUAGGGUAAAUUGUAAUUCAAUUGGUCGCCUAGCAUCACUGUGGAGUUUCCUGUGUGUAUUACAAAUUCAUUG